UAAACGAGGUACGCUGGUCUGAAGCAUGCUGAGGAUUUUUUUCCAAAUCAGUACAACAUCCAGACAUCAAAAUAGGUGCCAAAAAACGGGUCGCAGCCCAUCGACAGGAGACAUCUGCAACCGGAGGAGGACAGGCUACCAUGCAGCUGUCAGCGAUGGAUACCCGUGUUGCCAGCAUCAUCGGGGACACAGCACUGUGUGGUCUAAUUCCCGGAGGAGACACAAACACACUCCCACCAGCUGUACCAUCAACAAGUCACUGCAGCCAGUCCAGCCUGCGCUCAGGAGCUGGAGGAGGAGCUGGAGGCGGAGGAGGAGCUGGAGGCGGAGGAGGAGCCGGAGGCGGAGGAGGA